GGUUACAGCUCAUCUGCAUUUGUACUGAGUUUCUUUUUUUUUUUUUGUUGGAUUAGUAAGCAGGACAGAUAUUUAUAUGACCCCACUAAUCAUUGGAAUGCUGAAAUUUUGGACCACCUUUUUUUGUUGCCAAGUUAAAUUUGAUCUUCUAUGGGUGAAUGGAGGCACAAUGCUUCACGGAACGCUUCAUGAAUACGAGCAGAGACCAAAGAGAUGUAAGGUUCACCCCCUCCAUAUCACACAAUGCACCAUUGCUUGGAUUUUUGUUAGUCUGGUAGAGAGAUAACUAGUCUUGUCCAGCAUCUUGGAACACUUAGCAACUAUUGUAUGCACAUAAGAAUAAGAAAAUGGACUAAUUUUUGAGCCA
rnacentral:lncRNA from 1 species